CUAGAGUGCAGUGGUGUGAUCUCAACUCACUUCAACCUUUGCCUCCUGGGUUCAAGUGAUUCUCCUGCCUCAGCCUCCUGAGUAGCUGAGGUUACAGGUGUGCACCACCACGCCUGGCUAAUUUUUGUAUUUUUAGUAGAGACAAGGUAUCACCAUGUUGGCCAGACUGGUCUCAAACCCCUGACCUCAGCCGAUCUGCCCGACUCAACCUCCCAAUGUGCUGGGAUUAUAGGGGUGAGCCAUUUCGCUUGGCCCUUUUUGACUAUUUUAUGUGACUCUACUCUCUUACCUGGACAUUGCCUAAAAAGAGAUAGUGACAUAUCUUUGGGCCCAGCACCAAGGUGAUUUGACUCUCCUUUUCUGCCUGGGCCUUGCCCAUAGUAGAGAGAGUGACUUAUUGCUGAAUUUAGCAUACAGGUGGUAGAUUCUUCUGCUGGCUCCCAAAAGUCACUGUAAGAUAUAUCUGGGCCAAUUGCUGAGAUUGUGUGACUCUUCUCCUGGGACCUGUCCACAGUGGGGAUUGUGGCAUAUUGCUUGGCCAAGUACCUACAUGAUAUGACUCUUUUCUUAGGUCUGGGCCCUGCCCACUGAAGUAAUUUUGACACAUAGCUGGGCCCAGCUCAAAGGUUAUGUGACUUCACACUUCUUCCUGAGCCCUACCCAUGAGGGCCAUGGUGUCUUAUCUCUGAGACCGCUUAUUAGGUGAUGUGACUCUUUAUUUUUUUUGAGAUGGAGCCUGGCUCUGUUGCCCAUAAUUUAGAAGAUGCGACUCUUUUGCGCCAGAAUGGGUACUGUGACAUAUUGCUGAACCCGUUACAUAGGUGAUGUGACUCUCUUGCAUGGGCCCUCCUCCUAAGGGGGUAGUGUGACACAUUACUGAACCCAGUACAUAGGUGAUGCGACUCUUUUCUAUGGCUUUGCCCAAGCAGGGAUUUGUGAUGUGUUGCUGGACUCACCACCUAUGUGUUAUGACUCUCCUCUUCUGCCUAAGCCCUGAAUGCAUUGUGUGUUGUGACAUAUGCCUGGAUUCAGCACUUAGGUGGUACAACUUUAUGACAUGGGAACUGCCCACGGAAGUAUUAUGACAUGUCUCCUUUCCAUCACCUAGGUGAUGUGACCCUUUUAUUUUUCUUGUUUCUGGCAUAUUUUGGAUAUAGUGAUGUAUCAUUGAGUUCAACAGACAUGAGAUGGGAGGCUUCUGCCUGAGCCCAGCACGUAAGUGGCCUUGUGACAUAUCUUUGUACCCAUUAUCUUUGAGAUUUAAUACCCCUUUUCUGCCUGCACCCUCACCACUGGAAAGAUUGUGAUGAAUCACUGUUCUCAGCAAUCAGGUGAUGUGUUUUUCCUUCCUGGUCCUUGCCCACAGAUCAUUGUAACAUAUCACUGGGCCUAGCAUCUAGGUGAUGUGACUCUGCUGACUGUAUUCUGCUUUCAGGAGGAGAUUGUAACGUAUCCCUAAUUGAGCACCCAGGUGGUGUGACACUUCUGCCCUGUCCCUGCCCUCAGAGGAGAUUCUGACAUAUCACUGCCCCAAAAUGCAGGUGCUGUGAGUCUACUAGUCAGUCCCUUUUCAUUGGUGGGAUUGUGAUGCAUAUCUUUUCCAAACUUAAAGGUGCAAUAAUGAUUUUCAUACUUCGAAAAAACCAAUAGCAGAUACACUAUCUCUCAUAGCCAGGGUCAGGAAAAUGAGUAAUGUCUUGGGUCUCCUCUUUGUAUGAAGGUCAUAAAGAAUUAACACUCUGUCACAUACUGUGUAAAGUUGUCAAGAGGUACAGAGAAUGGCCUAACAGAACUCAGCACACAGGGGAGGUUGUGACACUCAUAUGCAUAGCCUGCCAACAGUAAACACUGUCAUCUUUCCACAUAAACACAGCUCACUGUUGAGGUUCUGAAGCUCUUAUGCAGAUGCAGUCAAAAGUUGGAAAAUUGAAUCUCAUAUGUGAAUUCGAUCCAUAGAGAUGUUAGUGUCUCUGACACCAAGAUUCAGCACACCUGUGAGUCGGUGACUUCACUAAAAUGACACAAUUUGCAGGAGGGAUUGAGGUUCUCAUACGCAAAUUCAGACUAUCAUUGAGAUUGUCACUCAGGUACUUACACCCAAGAUACGGAGGGAAUUAUGUCUCAGCUAGAACUAAAAAAUGUGUGAAAUUGUUAAUGUCAUACCUCAUCCUUAAGUUAGCUGUGUUUGUGACAUACACCUUUUUUUAGCACCUGAGUAAUUUGACUCUCCUGCCUGGACCCAGCGUACAGAUGGGAUUGUGCUUCAUUGCUGGACCCAGCAUUUAGGUCAUACAGAAUUGCCACCCUCCAACAUAUCAUAUAAUGCCCUCGAGUGUUACAAAGAGUGUUAUCCCAGGGCACACAGCACAAAGGGAAUGUCACUCCCGUGGAUGAUCAAAGCUACUCCGGGGGCUGAGGCAGGAGAAUCGCUUGAACUCGGAAGCAGAAGUUGCAGUGAGCUAAGGUCGCACCACUGCACUCCAGCCCAGGCGACAUUGUGAGACUCCAUCUCAAAAAAAAAAAAAAGAAAAAAAGUGUACUAACAAGACCCAGCACACAGAGGAGACUUUUACGAUUAUAUGAACACCCAUCAAACAGUACACAUCAUCAUUGUGAGUUCUGAAUCUCACACAUAGAGGAAGUCAAAGGUGGAAAAAUUGACUCUCAUAUUUGGAUCCAGUCCACAGGUUCUGCUAGCAAGGAGGACUGAGACAUAUUGUGGGGCUCUACGCCAAUGUGACAUUACUGUUCUGCCUUGGCCUGUACCUGAAAAGGCAUUGUGACAUAUUGCUGGGCCCAGCAACAAGGUGACAUGAGUCUUCCGUAUGGACCCUGACAACAGAGCAUUGUGACAUAUCUUUAAGAGCAUCAACUAUUUGAUGUGACUCUCCUUUUCUACCAAGGCUUUCCUCAUAUGAGAGAUUGUGACACAUCUUCUGGCACAGAAAUCAAGUGAUGUGUUUCUCCUGCCUGAGCUUUGCUCAUAGGGAGCACUGUGACAUAUCUCUGGUCUCAGCACCCAGGUGUGAUUUUGGCACACACUUCUGCCCAGCACCUGAGUAAUGUGAUUCUUCAGAAUUGGCCCAGCCCACAAAUAGGAUUGUGCCACACUGCUGGACCCAGCGCCUAAGUGAUGUAACUCUAUUCUUCUGCCUUGGUGCUACUCGAAAAAGACAUUGUAACAUAUCUCAGAGCCUUACACCCAGGUAAUGUGAGUCUCUUCUUCUGCCUUGCUGCUGCACACAGAAGCGGAAUAUGUACAGGAUUGUUAAUCUCAUCUUGGAUCUUCCUGCACAUGUGAUUGUGACACAUGCCUCUGUGUAGAACCUGAGUUUCGACUGCAGCAGAGAUUGUAACAAACCACUGGGCCCAGCCGCAUAAUGAUGUUACUCUUUUGCCUUGGGCCUGCCCUCAGAAGGCACUGUCACAUAUUCAUGGGCCCAACGCCAAGGUGAUAUGUGUCUCCAGCCUGGACCCUGCCCACAGGGGGCAUUGUGACAUAUCUCUUGGCCCAUCAUAUGUUUGAUAUUAUCCCCUCCCCUCUUCUACCCUGUGUUUGCCUAUAAAAGACACAGUCAUAUGUUCCUGGGCCCAGCACCUAGGUGUUGUCUUACUGGAAUGUGUCCACAUGGGGAUUGUGAUAUGUCACGUGGCCCAGUACUUAACUUGAUGUGACUCUCCUCUCAUGCCUAGGCCUUGUAGAGAAUCCCCUUCCCCUUUUGUUUUCCUUUUUUUCUUUGCAGAUCCAGGAGAUAAUCAACUAAGAGCCAGGCACCCGUUUAGGUCUAAUAAGAAACAUUUUACAAACUGCUCUCUCUUUUAAUUCACCUAUCUGAGAGAUUCCUCUGUACAAUAAAACUUGGUCUCCACAAUCCUUUACCUUAACCUAAACCUUCCCUUUCAUUGAUCCCAGGUCUUCAGAUUCCACCACUUGUCAACCACAAAAUAUUUAAACUUACCUGGAAGCCGCCCGCUUUGAGUUGUCCUGCCUUUCUGAACCAAACCAAUAUAUUCCUGCAAAACCGGCCAUGAUUAAAACAUCAAAAAAUAAUAUGUGUUGGCAUGGCUGUGGUGAAAAAAGAAUACUUUUUCACUGCUGGUGGGUAUGUAAACUAGUACAACCACUAUGAAAAACAGUAUGGAGAUUCAUUAAAUAAAAGUAAAGCUACCAUUUGAUUAAGCAAUUCUACUACUGCGUAUCUACAUGAAGAAAAAGAAAUUAUAUGCGUAAGACACUUGCACACACAUGUUUAUAGCAGCACAAUUUGCAAUUGCAAAAAUAUGGAAGCAGCCUAAUGCCCAUCAGCUAAUGAGUGGAAAAAGAAAAUGUGGCAUAUGUAUACCAAUGCAUACUACUCAGCCCUAACGAGGAAUAAAAUAAUAGCAUUUGCAUCAAUCUCGAUUUAGUUGGAGACCAUUAUUCUAAGUAACUCAGCAAUAAAAAACCAAGCAUUGUAUGUUCUC